ACCAUCCUUUUCUUGGGGUUGCGCUACUGUCCAAUGAACGCUUAGUGAGGGCAGUACUGCUGACGCCUGACAACACGCCCGCAUCGGCUAAAGCUCUGCUUUACCUCGGUGCAAUUUUUGGAAAA
rnacentral:ncRNA from 12 species